GGGCUGUAGGUGGAGCUUCGAGAGCUGUGCCCAGGAGUGAACAACCAGCCCUACCUCUGUGAGAGUGGUCACUGCUGCAGGGAGACUGGCUGCUGCACCUACUACUAUGAGCUCUGGUGGUUCUGGCUGCUCUGGACUGUCCUCAUCCUCUUUAGCUGCUGUUGGGCCUUCCGCCACCGACGAGCUAAACUCAGGCUGCAACAACAGCAGCGGCAGCGUGAAAUCAACUUGUUGGCCUAUCAUGGGGCAUGCCAUGGGGCUGGUCCUUUCCCUACCGGUUCACUGCUUGACCUUCGCCUCCUCAGCACCUUCAAGCCCCCAGCCUACGAGGAUGUGGUUCACCGCCCAGGCAC
rnacentral:lncRNA from 1 species